rnacentral:rRNA from 1 species
GUAGGUGGCAAGCGUUGUCCGGAAUUAUUGGGCGUAAAGCGCGCGCAGGCGGGGUCCCUUUUAAGUCUGAUGUGAAAGCCCACGGGCUCAACCGUGGAGGGUCAUUGGAAACUGGGGGACUUGAGUACAGAAGAGGAAAGCGGAAUUCCAAGUGUAGCGGUGAAAUGCGUAGAGAUUUGGAGGAACACCAGUGGCGAAGGCGGCUUUCUGGUCUGUAACUGACGCUGAGGCGCGAAAGCGUGGGGAGCAAACAGGAUUAGAUACCCUGGUAGUCCACGCCGUAAACGAUGAGUGCUAAGUGUUAGGGGGGUUUCCGCCCCUUAGUGCUGCAGCUAACGCAUUAAGCACUCCGCCUGGGGAGUACGGCCGCAAAGGCUG